rnacentral:ribozyme from 2 species
GUAGUAAUGUAGCUUGCCUCAUGGCAAACGGUCACAAGCCCGUAUAAAUACAGAGCGAUGC